rnacentral:rRNA from 1 species
GAUGAACGCUGGCGGCGUGCCUAAUACAUGCAAGUCGAGCGGAAGGACGAGAAGCUUGUGUUUCUGAUGUUAGCGGCGGACGGGUGAGUAACGCGUGGAUAACCUACUUAUAUGUCGGGGAUAAUUACGGAAAAACGGAUCUAAUACUGGAUAAUAUUUUGAACCGCAGGGUUCAAAGGUGAAAGACGGUCUUGCCGUCUCUUAUAGAUGGAUCCGCGCUGCAUUAGCUAGUUGGUAAGGUAACGGCUUACCAAGGCAACGAUGCUUAGCCGGCCUGAGAGGGUGAUCGGCCACACUGGAACUGAGACACGGUCCAGACUCCUACGGGAGGCAGCAGUAGGGAAUCUUCCGCAAUGGGCGAAAGCCUGACGGAGCAACGCCGCGUGAGUGAUGAAGGUCUUCGGAUCGUAAAGCUCUGUUAUUAGGGAAGAACAUAUGUGUAAGUAACUGUGCACAUCUUGACGGUACCUAAUCAGAAAGCCGCGGCUAACUACGUG